UACGGAGGGUGCAAGCGUUAUCCGGAUUUACUGGGUUUAAAGGGCGCGCAGGCGGAUAUGUAAGUCAGUGGUGAAAUCUUUGGGCUUAACCCGAAAAUUGCCGUUGAUACUAUAUAUCUUGAAUGCUGUGGAGGUAAGCGGAAUAUGUCAUGUAGCGGUGAAAUGCUUAGAGAUGACAUAGAACACCUAUUGCGAAGGCAGCUUACUACGCAGAUAUUGACGCUCAUGCACGAAAGCGUGGGGAUCAAACAGG
rnacentral:rRNA from 1 species